UUACGGCCAUAUCAUGUUGAAACAGAGGUUCCCGUACGAUCAUCGAAGUUAAGCAGCGUCAAGCCUGGUUAGUACCUAUAUGGGUAACCGUUUUGGGAAUACCAAUUGCUGUAAG